rnacentral:rRNA from 1 species
UACGUAGGGUGCGAGCGUUAAUCGGAAUUACUGGGCGUAAAGCGUGCGCAGGCGGUUCGUUGUGUCGGCGGUGAAAGCCCCGGGCUUAACCUGGGAAUGGCAUGGGAAACUGGCGGGCUGGAGUGUGGCAGAGGGGGGUGGAAUUCCGCGUGUAGCAGUGAAAUGCGUAGAGAUGCGGAGGAACACCGAUGGCGAAGGCAGCCCCCUGGGCUAACACUGACGCCUCAGGCACGAAAGCGUGGGGAGCAAACAGG